rnacentral:rRNA from 1 species
GACGAACGCUGGCGGCGUGCUUAACACAUGCAAGUCGAACGGAAAGGCCCGGCUUUUGUGGGGUGCUCGAGUGGCGAACGGGUGAGUAACACGUGAGUAACCUGCCCUUGACUUUGGGAUAACUUCAGGAAACUGGGGCUAAUACCGGAUAGGAGCUCCUGCUGCAUGGUGGGGGUUGGAAAGUUUCGGCUGUUGGGGAUGGACUCGCGGCUUAUCAGCUUGUUGGUGGGGUAGUGGCUUACCAAGGCUUUGACGGGUAGCCGGCCUGAGAGGGUGACCGGCCACCUUGGGCCUGCGGUACGGCCCAGACUCCUACGGGCGGCAGCAGUGGGGAAUCUUGCACAGUGGGCGGACGCCUGAUACAGAAACGCCGCGUGCGGAAUGACGGCCUUCGGGUUGUGAACCGCUUUCGCCUGUGACGAAGCGUGCGUGACGGUAAUGGGUAAAGAAGCACCGGCUAACUACGUG